rnacentral:rRNA from 1 species
ACUCAAAUGAAUUGACGGGGGCUCACACAAGCGGUGGAGCAUGUUGCUUAAUUCGAGGCAACGCGAAGAACCUUACCUGGGUUUGACAUGCUUGGAUUAACCCCGUGAAAGCGGGGCCACACCCUCCGGGUGGAACAAGCACAGGUGCUGCAUGGCUGUCGUCAGCUCGUGCUGUGAAGUGUCAGGUUAAGUCCUUUAACGAGCGCAACCCCUAUCGUUAGUUGCUCACGGGUCAUGCCGAGUACUCUAGCGAGACUGCCGGUGUCAAACCGGAGGAAGGUGGGGAUGACGUCAAGUCCUCAUGGCCCUUACAUCCAGGGUUGCAAACGUGCUACAAUGGCGCGCACAAAGCGACGCAAGAGCGCAAGCUGGAGCAAAUCGCAAAAAACGCGCCCCAGUUCGGAUUGCGGGCUGCAACUCGCCCGCAUGAAGUCGGAAUCGCUAGUAAUCGGAGAUCAGCUACGCUCCGGUGAAUGUGUUCCUGAGCCUUGUACACACCGCCCGU